AAACACCUGUCUUGUUAUCUGAUAUUGAUUUAAUCAAUUAUUCUAAAAUCGCGAAUGCUUUUUGAAUUCUAUAGUUUAAAACUCGUGUCUUUGAAAACGAUAAUUAUUUUAAAAUUUGUUUUCUCCUAAACUAGCAAUUUAAAAUAUGGAAGUAAAAGCCCAAUUAAAAAUUUAAACCAACUUAAAGGCCUUAUUACAAAAAAAAAAAACCCCAAC
rnacentral:lncRNA from 1 species